ACAUGUACAAGUAGCCAGACCGAGGCCAAUAGCCAGACUAUGACUGAGACUGCCACAUUGAAAUAAUGAGUCAUCACACUCACAGUCUAGGUCCUGAACACCAGCAGCGCAUCUGGUAGUGGUCUGUAAUUAUUUCGACCUCGGUCAUCAAUACCAG